rnacentral:rRNA from 1 species
ACGGGGCUAAACCAUGCACCGAAGCUGCGGCAGCGAACGUAUCACCCAAGACAACUUUACACAGUUGACGCCUGACGGAGCGAAGCGACGUCAAAGCGUUUUACAACGUCGAGUUGGCUUAGGGAUACGUUCGUUGGGUAGGGGAGCGUUCUGUAAGCCGUUGAAGGUGUGUCGUGAGGCAUGCUGGAGGUAUCAGAAGUGCGAAUGCUGACAUAAGUAACGAUAAAGCGGGUGAAAAGCCCGCUCGCCGGAAGACCAAGGGUUCCUGUCCAACGUUAAUCGGGGCAGGGUGAGUCGACCCCUAAGGCGAGGCCGAAAGGCGUAGUCGAUGGGAAACGGGUUAAUAUUCCCGUACUUGGUGUUACUGCGAAGGGGGGACGGAGAAGGCUAUGUUGGCCGGGCGACGGUUGUCCCGGUUUAAGCGUGUAGGUGUGUGUUCCAGGUAAAUCCGGUUCACUUUAACACUGAGGCGUGAUGACGAGGCACCACGGUGCUGAAGCAACAAAUGCCCUGCUUCCAGGAAAAGCCUCUAAGCCUCAGGUAACAUCAAAUCGUACCCCAAACCGACACAGGUGGUCAGGUAGAGAAUACCAAGGCGCUUGAGAGAACUCGGGUGAAGGAACUAGGCAAAAUGGUGCCGUAACUUCGGGAGAAGGCACGCUGACACGUAGGUGAAGUGGUUUACCCAUGGAGCUGAAGUCAGUCGAAGAUACCAGCUGGCUGCAACUGUUUAUUAAAAACACAGCACUGUGCAAACACGAAAGUGGACGUAUACGGUGUGACGCCUGCCCGGUGCCGGAAGGUUAAUUGAUGGGGUCAGCGCAAGCGAAGCUCCUGAUCGAAGCCCCGGUAAACGGCGGCCGUAACUAUAACGGUCCUAAGGUAGCGAAAUUCCUUGUCGGGUAAGUUCCGACCUGCACGAAUGGCGUAAUGAUGGCCAGGCUGUCUCCACCCGGGACUCAGUGAAAUUGAACUCGCUGUGAAGAUGCAGUGUACCCGCGGCAAGACGGAAAGACCCCGUGAACCUUUACUAUAGCUUGACACUGAACACUGGUCCUUGAUGUGCAGGAUAGGUGGGAGGCUUUGAAGUGUGGACGCCAGUCUGCAUGGAGCCAUCCUUGAAAUACCACCCUUUAAUGGCUGGUGUUCUAACGUGGGCCCGUGAACCGGGUUGCGGACAGUGUCUGGUGGGUAGUUUGACUGGGGCGGUCUCCUCCUAAAGAGUAACGGAGGAGCACGAAGGUUGGCUAAUCCUGGUCGGACAUCAGGAGGUUAGUGCAAUGGCAUAAGCCAGCUUGACUGCGAGCGUGACGGCGCGAGCAGGUGCGAAAGCAGGUCAUAGUGAUCCGGUGGUUCUGAAUGGAAGGGCCAUCGCUCAACGGAUAAAAGGUACUCCGGGGAUAACAGGCUGAUACCGCCCAAGAGUUCAUAUCGACGGCGGUGUUUGGCACCUCGAUGUCGGCUCAUCACAUCCUGGGGCUGAAGUAGGUCCCAAGGGUAUGGCUGUUCGCCAUUUAAAGUGGUACGCGAGCUGGGUUUAGAACGUCGUGAGACAGUUCGGUCCCUAUCUGCCGUGGGCGCUGGAAGAUUGAGGGGGGCUGCUCCUAGUACGAGAGGACCGGAGUGGACGCAUCACUGGUGUUCGGGUUGUCAUGCCAAUGGCACUGCCCGGUAGCUACAUGCGGAAGAGAUAAGUGCUGAAAGCAUCUAAGCACGAAACUUGCCCCGAGAUGAAUCUUCCCUGAGCCUUUAAGGCUCCUGAAGGAACGUUGAAGACGACGACGUUGAUAGGCCGGGUGUGUAAGCGCAGCGAUGCGUUGAGCUAACCGGUACUAAUGAACCGUGAGGCUUAACCUUACAACGCCGAAG